ACACCUAGGUGGCUCAUGGCGAGAAUCGUUGUCCUAGGUGUUCUGUGUGCGCUGACAGAAUCCCUGAAAGUGUGGACAACAGCACCGGAGGCCUUGGUCCUGGUGGAUGGAGAUGUUUUACUCCAUUGUUAUUUCACAUUUGUGGAGCCCAUCAGAGCAGAGGACGUUGCCGUGAAGUGGACGGUGAGGCGCAGCGAUGGAGCUGUAAGACCAGUCUACAUGUUUGAUGGAGUAAAUAUUGAUUCCCUGCGACUGGAAAGCUCUAUUGAUCACCACCUCCUGGAGACAGGCAAUGCCUCUUUAUACCUGGCAAACCUAUUGGUGGAGGAUGAGGGGGAGUACACCUGCACUGUGCUCAUACCUCCAGAGGUUGGGGACACUGUGCUGGACCUGAAACUUGCAGCACAGCCCACUGUCACCCUGCUCCCGGAGAACCCUCAUCUGACCAACGGCGAGAUGAAGACCUUUAUCUGUAAACUCAGUCAUUUCUAUCCACAAGAUCUUGAUAUAAAGUGGAUCAUGAAGAAGGACAAAAGAGAAACAGUGCUGAAGAAGGAUAUCUGCACCGGCAUCCCCUUCCAGGGUCAGAACGGAACCUUCACCACAGACAGUCAGGUCUCUAUCGUGUUUACCGAGGAAGAUGAUGGCAGCACAAUCUUGUGUGAGGUUGGACACCAGUCACUGCCAGAGCCACUGAGGAGAGGCACCAGCAUUCACCUCACUGUGGCAGAGGUUCCCAGCCGUACAGUGCUGGUCGUCAGUAUACUGAUGGUCGCCAUAAUGCUCAUCUUAAUGUCUGGCCUUUUAUACUCAAAAUUCCUGGCAUCAGUGCCUCCUCGGGUCUCAGCACUUAUUCUACCGGAGCUGAAUCUGGUGGGUGAGAAGAUGGUUGCCAUAUGUAACAUCAAUGGCUUCAGACCUAAAACAGUGGCCAUUUGCUGGUACAUUGAAAAGACUGAGCAUGGGACAGGAAGCGGACAGUACAGAGAUGACCAUCUGCUGAAGGCCACUGACAUCACCAGCCAGGCUCAGCAUCCAGUCAGCAGACAUGACAGUCUGUUCAACGCCACCUCGCAGCUGUCGUAUGUCCCCUCUGUCCAGGAUGAUGGGGCCAGACUGGUGUGUGAGGUGCGGCACAAGGCCCUGGGUACUGUAGCCAGGCGGGAGAGCCACAUGCAUGUAGCAGUACGGCCUAAGAAAAGUUACGUAACUAGCUGGCCUCAGGAUCCCCAGUGUGGAGACACAUUGACACUGAGCUGCAUUGUGGAACGAUUCUAUCCAAAGCCCAUAGUGGUGACAUGGCUGAGGAAUGGCCAAGUGCAGAGUGGUGUCACACAGUUCGGGCCAUUUCCCUGUGAAAGUGAGUAUUACAGUGUCUGGAGCCAGAUCGAGCUGACCCUGAAGGAAGAGGAGGAUGGGGCGAUGUACACCUGUCAGAUCAGUCACUGCAGUCUGCGCAGCGUGGAGGAACUGUCCUACGAAGUCAACGCGCAAGGAACACCCCCCGAGGUGCAAUUUAUCAUCGCUGACCCCGCAAACCCAGUCAUUGGACAAGAAAUCCUUCUCAGCUGCAGGAUAAGUAACUUCUUUCCCAAGGAUAUUACAGUGGACUGGUCCAAAGAUGGCUUCAGGUUGGAUGCAGGGAUUUGCCGUUCUCUGUGUGUCACCAACACCAAUGGCAUCCAUUCUAUGUGGAGCUUCCUUAGGUUUAUGCCAGCAGCUGAGGAUGAUGGGAGUGUCUUCACAUGUUCAGUGCAGCAUGUCGCUCUGAGGAAUCGAGAGGAACGAACUUACACCCUAAGCCUUGACACAGAUGACUGCUUUACAUAGAGAUGCCAUUGGUUUUAUACUUGUGAUAAGAAUAAUGGGGGAGAUGCUAAGUUGCCCAUAGCAACCACUCAGAUUGCUUGAAAGAAGAAGAAAAUGAAAGAAGUGAUCUGAUUGGUUGCUAUGGGCAACUCAGCAACUUUUCCUCUGGACAGAUUUUGAUAAAUCUCCCCCUAUAUCCUUAUUGAUAGAGAGUACGAUGAUCCCUGCUCACUAGCGGCAUGCUGCCCAGACAGCAAGUAUAUGACUAUGAGACAGAAAAAGACUCAAACUCUACACACACAGAGUAACUCCAGCUUUACACAUCUGACACAGAGUAACUCCAGCGGUUAAGUGGUUAUCCAGGUAACCCCUUGGGGACGAAGCCCAUUUAGACCUUAAGGACGAGGCCAAUUUUUGUUUUUGCACUUUCAUUUUUUUCCUCCUCCCCU